rnacentral:rRNA from 1 species
AUUGGACGCUGGCGGCAUGCCUUACACAUGCAAGUCGAACGGCAGCACGGGAGCUUGCUCCUGGUGGCGAGUGGCGAACGGGUGAGUAAUACAUCGGAACGUACCCUGAAGUGGGGGAUAACGUAGCGAAAGUUACGCUAAUACCGCAUAUUCUGUGAGCAGGAAAGAGGGGGAUCGCAAGACCUCUUGCUUUAGGAGCGGCCGAUGUCGGAUUAGCUAGUUGGUGAGGUAAAGGCUCACCAAGGCGACGAUCCGUAGCGGGUCUGAGAGGAUGGAUCCGCCACACUGGGACUGAGACACGGCCCAGACUCCUACGGGAGGCAGCAGUGGGGAAUUUUGGACAAUGGGCGCAAGCCUGAUCCAGCCAUGCCGCGUGAGUGAAGAAGGCCUUCGGGUUGUUAAGAC